UACGUAGGUGGCAAGCGUUAUCCGGAAUUAUUGGGCGUAAAGCGCGCGCAGGCGGUUUCUUAAGGCUGAUGUGAAAGCCCACGGCUCAACCGUGGAGGGUCAUUGGAAACUGGGGAACUUGAGUGCAGAAGAGAAAAGCGGAAUUCCACGUGUAGCGGUGAAAUGCGUAGAGAUGUGGAGGAACACCAGUGGCGAAGGCGGCUUUUUGGUCUGUAACUGACGCUGAGGCGCGAAAGCGUGGGGAGCAAACAGG
rnacentral:rRNA from 1 species